rnacentral:rRNA from 1 species
AGAGUUUGAUCCUGGCUCAGGAUGAACGCUGGCGGCGUGCCUAAUACAUGCAAGUCGAACGCACUAGUUUACUAGUGAGUGGCGAACGGGUGAGUAACACGUAGGUAACCUGCCCUUAAGACGAGGAUAACCGUUGGAAACGAUGGCUAAGACUGGAUAGGAUGAUUGAAGGCAUCUUCGAUCAUUUAAAAGACCUAGUAAUAGGUAUGCUUAAGGAGGGGCCUGCGGCGCAUUAGUUAGUUGGUGAGGUGAUGGCUUACCAAGACGAUGAUGCGUAGCCGGACUGAGAGGUUGAACGGCCACAUUGGGACUGAGAAACGGCCCAAACUCCUACGGGAGGCAGCAGUAGGGAAUUUUCGGCAAUGGGGGAAACCCUGACCGAGCAACGCCGCGUGAAUGACGAAGUACUUCGGUAUGUAAAGUUCUUUUAUCAGGGAAGAAUGGCUAGUGGAAAAACUAGAUUGACGGUACCUGAUGAAUAAGCCCCGGCUAACUAUGUGCCAGCAGCCGCGGUAAUACAUAGGGGGCAAGCGUUAUCCGGAAUUAUUGGGCGUAAAGGGUGCGUAGGUGGUUAAUUAAGUCUUUGGUAUAAGUGCAGUGCUUAACGCUGUGAUGCUAAAGAAACUGGUUGACUUGAGUGUGGUAGAGGCAAGUGGAAUUCCAUGUGUAGCGGUAAAAUGCGUAAAUAUAUGGAGGAACACCAGUGGCGAAGGCGGCUUGCUGGGCCAUAACUGACACUGAGGCACGAAAGCGUGGGGAGCAAACAGGAUUAGAUACCCUGGUAGUCCACGCCGUAAACGAUGAGUACUAAGUGUUGGAGAAAUUCAGUGCUGUAGUUAACGCAAUAAGUACUCCGCCUA